CCUACGGGUGGCUGCAGUCGAGAAUCAUUCACAAUGGGGGAAACCCUGAUGGUGCGACGCCGCGUGGGGGAAUGAAGGUCUUCGGAUUGUAAACCUCUGUCAUGUGGGAGCAAAUUAAAAAGAUAGUACCACAAGAGGGAGAGACGGCUAACUCUGUGCCAGCAGCCGCGGUAAUGCAGAGGUUUCAAGCGUUGUUCGGAAUCACUGGGCGUAAAGCGUGCGUAGGCGGUUUCGUAAGUCUGGUGUGAAAGGCGCGGGCUCAACCCGCGGACGGCACAUGAUACUGCGAGACUAGAGUAAGGGAGGGGGAACCGGAAUUCUCGGUGUAGCAGUGAAAUGCGUAGAUAUCGAGAGGAACACUCGUGGCGAAGGCGGGUUCCUGGACAUUAACUGACGCUGAGGCACGAAGGCCAGGGGAGCGAAAGGGAUUAGAUACCCGGGUAGUC
rnacentral:rRNA from 1 species